rnacentral:rRNA from 1 species
GAUGAACGCUGGCGGCGUGCCUAAUACAUGCAAGUCGAGCGAACGGACGAGAAGCUUGCUUUUCUGAUGUUAGCGGCGGACGGGUGGGUAACACGUGGAUAACCUACCUAUAAGACUGGGAUAACUUCGGGAAACCGGAGCUAAUACCGGAUAAUAUUUUGAACCGCAUGGUUCAAAAGUGAAAGACGGUCUUGCUGUCACUUAUAGAUGGAUCCGCGCUGCAUUAGCUAGUUGGUAAGGUAACGGCUUACCAAGGCAACGAUGCAUAGCCGACCUGAGAGGGUGAUCGGCCACACUGGAACUGAGACACGGUCCAGACUCCUACGGGAGGCAGCAGUAGGGAAUCUUCCGCAAUGGGCGAAAGCCUGACGGAGCAACGCCGCGUGAGUGAUGAAGGUCUUCGGGUCGUAAAACUCUGUUAUUAGGGAAGAACAUAUGUGUAAGUAACUGUGCACAUCUUGACGGUACCUAAUCAGAAAGCCACGGCUAACUACGUG